rnacentral:lncRNA from 1 species
UUUCCCCACCCCAUGAAGAUGUAAUAGUUUAGGUUAAUGCUUUCUAGUUAAUUCACCAUGCAUGCUAAUAAAAAAAGAUAAAAUACAAAAUGAUAAACAAAGCAUUUCGAAAGAAACAAAAGGUACUUGAUCCAACGUCAAGUUGUUUUCCAAAUAAAACUCAUACCAUUGCAACGUGAAUACUUGACCCUAUGUCAAGUAUCUCCCAUCCAUUCCAUGAUCCAUUAUUCACAUCUCUUCUCCAUUCUCU